AAAAAAGGUAAGCUACUAAGAGCGAAUGGUGGAUGCCUUGACUGGUAAAGGCGAUGAAGGACGUACUAGACUGCGAUAAGCUACGGGGAGCUGUCAAGAAGCUUUGAUCCGUAGAUUUCCGAAUGGGGCAACCCAAUGUAUAGAGAUAUACAUUACCUAUAUAGGAGCGAACGAGGGGAAUUGAAACAUCUUAGUACCCUCAGGAAAAGAAAUCAAUAGAGAUUGCGUCAGUAGCGGCGAGCGAAAGCGCAAGAGGGCAAACCCAGUGCUUGCACUGGGGGUUGUAGGACUGCAAUGUGCAAGAGCUGAGUUUAGCAGAACAUUCUGGAAAGUAUAGCCAUAGAGGGUGAUAGUCCCGUAUGCGAAAAACAAAGCUUAGCUAGCAGUAUCCUGAGUAGGGCGGGACACGAGGAAUCCUGUCUGAAUCCGGGUCGACCACGAUCCAACCCUAAAUACUAAUACCAGAUCGAUAGUGCACAAGUACCGUGAGGGAAAGGUGAAAAGAACUGAGGUGAUCAGAGUGAAAUAGAACCUGAAACCAUUUGCUUACAAUCAUUCAGAGCACUAUGUAGCAAUACAGUGUGAUGGACUGCCUUUUGCAUAAUGAGCCUGCGAGUUGUGGUGUCUGGCAAGGUUAAGCAAACGCGAAGCCGUAGCGAAAGCGAGUCUGAAUAGGGCGCUUAGUCAGAUGCUGCAGACCCGAAACGAAGUGAUCUAUCCAUGAGCAAGUUGAAGCUAGUGUAAGAACUAGUGGAGGACUGAACCCAUAGGCGUUGAAAAGCCCCGGGAUGACUUGUGGAUAGGGGUGAAAGGCCAAUCAAACUUCGUGAUAGCUGGUUCUCUCCGAAAUAUAUUUAGGUAUAGCGUUGUGUCGUAAUAUAAGGGGGUAGAGCACUGAAUGGGCUAGGGCAUACACCAAUGUACCAAACCCUAUCAAACUCCGAAUACCUUAUAUGUAAUCACAGCAGUCAGGCGGCGAGUGAUAAAAUCCGUCGUCGAGAGGGAAACAACCCAGACUACCAGCUAAGGUCCCUAAAUCUUACUUAAGUGGAAAACGAUGUGAAGUUACUUAAACAACCAGGAGGUUGGCUUAGAAGCAGCCAUCCUUUAAAGAAAGCGUAAUAGCUCACUGGUCUAGUGAUUUUGCGCGGAAAAUAUAACGGGGCUAAAGUAAGUACCGAAGCUGUAGACUUGCACACAACUUAGAUUAUUUAAGUUUAGAAUAUGAGAAACUAAGUUAUGUUUAGUUAUAUUUUUACUGAUUUUUAUAGAGUAAAGAUAGAAAUAAAACUUAGUAAAAUCAGUAAAAAUAUUCUUAGGCUAAAGUUAAGUAGUUUAAGUUGUGUGCAAGUGGUAGGAGAGCGUUCUAUUUGCGUCGAAGGUAUACCGGUAAGGAGUGCUGGAGCGAAUAGAAGUGAGCAUGCAGGCAUGAGUAGCGAUAAUUAAUGUGAGAAUCAUUAACGCCGUAAACCCAAGGUUUCCUACGCGAUGCUCGUCAUCGUAGGGUUAGUCGGGUCCUAAGUCGAGUCCGAAAGGGGUAGACGAUGGCAAAUUGGUUAAUAUUCCAAUACCAACAUUAGUGUGCGAUGGAAGGACGCUUAGGGCUAAGGGGGCUAGCGGAUGGAAGUGCUAGUCUAAGGUCGUAGGAGGUUAUACAGGCAAAUCCGUAUAACAAUACUCCGAGAACUGAAAGGCUUUUUGAAGUCUUCGGAUGGAUAGAAGAACCCCUGAUGCCGUCGAGCCAAGAAAAGUUUCUAAGUUUAGCUAAUGUUGCCCGUACCGUAAACCGACACAGGUGGGUGGGAUGAGUAUUCUAAGGCGCGUGGAAGAACUCUCUUUAAGGAACUCUGCAAAAUAGCACCGUAUCUUCGGUAUAAGGUGUGGUUAGCUUCGUACUAGGAUUUACUCCGAAAGCGAAGAAACUUACAACAAAGAGUCCCUCCCGACUGUUUACCAAAAACACAGCACUCUGCUAACUCGUAAGAGGAUGUAUAGGGUGUGACGCCUGCCCGGUGCUCGAAGGUUAAUUGAUGGGGUUAGCAUUAGCGAAGCUCUUGAUCGAAGCCCGAGUAAACGGCGGCCGUAACUAUAACGGUCCUAAGGUAGCGAAAUUCCUUGUCGGUUAAAUACCGACCUGCAUGAAUGGCGUAACGAGAUGGGAGCUGUC
rnacentral:rRNA from 1 species